UAGUCCACACCGUAAACGCUGUCUACUAGCUGUUUGUGUAUUAUAUACGUGAGUAGCGAAGCUAACGCGCUAAGUAGACCGCCUGGGGAGUACGGCCGCAAGGUUAAAACUCAAAUGAAUUGACGGGGGCCCGCACAAGCGGUGGAGCAUGUGGUUUAAUUCGAUGCAACGCGAAGAACCUUACCUACUCUUGACAUCCAGAAAAUUUGGCAGAGAUGCCUCAGUGCCUUCGGGAAUUCUGAGACAGGUGCUGCAUGGCUGUCGUCAGCUCGUGUCGUGAGAUGUUGGGUUAAGUCCCGCAACGAGCGCAACCCUUGUCCUUAGUUGCCAGCAUUUAGUUGGGCACUCUAAGGAGACUGCCGGUGACAAACCGGGAGGAAGGUGGGGGACGACGUCAAGUCAUCAUGGCCCUUACGGGGUUGGGGCUACACACGUGCUACAAUGGUGCAUACAGUGAGUUAAUCUCCAAAAUGCAUCUCAGUUCGGGAUUGGGGGUCUGGC
rnacentral:rRNA from 1 species